rnacentral:misc_RNA from 1 species
GUGAUAAUAUCGUCGCCGUUCUCGCUCGAGUCGCUGACGAGAUCCAAUGGCCUUUAGCCAAGGACGAGGCAGCAGUAAAACUAGACGAUUCGCAUUAUUUUUUCUCCCUCCGGUUGCCCAAGGAGCACCAGGACUCGGAUUCGAGCAGUGAUGAGGAGGACAAGAAGAGUAUAAACAAAAAUAGUAGUGAUUCGAAUGAUAUAUUGAACUAUGGUUUGACCAUUGCAUCCAAAGGGCAGGAGGCGUUGUUGAAGGAGUUCGAUGGCAUUUUACAGGCUUAUAGCUGUUUUACGAUCCAGAAAGUUUCUGAGAACGCUAAAGCUAAGGGAGACGCUUUGUUGAGUGAGUUGACAGUGAAGGAGACUUCACCGGCGGAUUUGCAGAAUGAGGACAAGAAAGAAUUGAUGGAGGGGAGGUGUGCGGCGUAUUGGACCACAUUGGCACCCAAUGUGGAGGAUUAUAGUAGCACUACUGCAAAGGUGAUUGCUACGGGUUCAGGGCACCUGAUUAAGGGCAUUUUGUGGUGCGGGGAUGUGACUGUAGAUAGGAUGAAAUGGGGGAAUGAGGUCAU